rnacentral:rRNA from 1 species
GAUGAACGCUGGCGGCGUGCUUAACACAUGCAAGUCGAACGGAGAGGCCCAGGCUUGCGUGGUUACUCGAGUGGCGAACGUGUGUGUAACACGAGUGUGAUGUGCCCUACACUUCGGUAUACGCGUGAGAAACGGGGUCUUAUACCAUAUAGCACCACGCCGUGUGGUUGGGGGUGGAAAGUGUUUUCGGUGUGGGAUGGGCUCUCGGCCUAUCAGCGUGUUGGUGGGGUAAUGGCUUACCAAGGCGUCGACGGGUAGCCGGCCUGAGAGGGUGUACGGCCACACUGGGACUGAGACACGGCCCAGACUCCUACGGGAGGCAGCAGUGGGGAAUAUUGCACAAUGGGCGCAAGCCUGAUGCAGCGACGCCGCGUGGGGGAUGACGGCCUUCGGGUUGUAAACCUCUUUCGGUAGGGAAGAAGCGUUUUGUGACGGUACCUGGAGAAGAAGCACCGGCUAACUACGUG